UCCACCCCUUUACUGCCAUUUGCAAUUGCUAGCAGAAACCCUCCUCGCUCGUGUUAUAAAAUACACAUUCACAUUCACAUUCUCAACUCAACCUCCAUCUCAUUUCCACCGCAACUCACUCCCUCUCUCCCUCUCUCUAAUUCAUUCGUAAUACACAGGAGGAGUCUCAUGCUUUUUGGAGAGCAAACAAAUUGUAUAUAGUAACUGUUAUAAAUCAAUGCUCACUUGUUGAUGGCACCACCCUCAUUGGUGACAUCUCUGCCGGAGCAGUCUCAUAUUCCAUUAGCUUGUGGAGUGGUGUUGUCGCAUUUAUCAUUUGGGACUGGCCAUGAGAAUAUGAAUAAACUGGGAUUAUAACGGUGCUUGGUAGAACACAGAGCUAAAAGCUAAGUCGGUUACAAGAGUAUCACUAUUAAUAUUAUGAGCACAGUGAGCAACCGUCUGUCAAAAGUUGAUAACCGGCAAAGAAUCAGUUUCAGCCCCUGCUUGAUUUAAGCAACAAUAAGGUUGACAAAUAAUCAGUUUCAGCACUGCUUGAACUUAAGCAACAAUAAGGUUGGAUUAAUUCAUUUGGUAUUUAUCAUGUGAUUAAGUCUCUGAUAGUUAAUUUUUUCUUUUUGAAAUUGCCUUUUGCCUUAUUUCUCUAUAAGGUUGACAAAUAAUCAGUUUCAGCACUGCUUGAACUUAAGCAACAAUAAGGUUGGAUUAAUUCAUUUGGUAUUUAUCAUGUGAUUAAGUCUCUGAUAGUUAAUUUUUUCUUUUUGAAAUUGCCUUGUGCCUUAUUUCUCUCUUUAUGAAUUUUUGCGAAUUCAUCUAUAUGUUGAGAGACAUGAUGAGUUUUUCAUUGCUCCGUUUUUGGGGAAUCACAAUGACUGAUAACAAUUGCCAAUUUCUGAUCUUCAAAUGCAGAUAAUUUGUCUUUUUUUGAAUUUCUAGAACAUUUUGUUGCAGUAGAGAAUUUUGCGUGUUAAUGGCUCUGGUUUUCUGCUUUUUGUCGAAGUAUUGGUAUUCUUCUUAAUGUGAGUGUAGAUUUUAUCAUGCAUGAGAAUCGUUGCUAUAUAUAUUCUUUGCAAUCUCUAUUUUUUCAAUUCUGUAGAUGUGUUGCAAUUGAAAUUCAUUUAUUAUAUUGUUUUAGCUUUUGAUUUUGGUUUCUGCAGUUCUGCAUGUGAAAGUUAAUCAAACACUGCAUUUUAUUCUGCAUUUUAUGAUUAUAUGAUGUAAAAAAAAUUUAUACUGGGUGUAUUUUAAUGAAUUGAAUUCUAUUGGAACAAUGCCUAAAUUUUCAAUAUAUCGCGUAGAAUAUAAUGCGUUUCCAAAAAUGGUGUAUAUAUAACACACGAAGGUGAUAUAAGCCGCUUGUUUGAAUGAGUGAGGUCUAAUGUCCCUAAUACUGAGUUUAUAUAUUGUUUGGACAAAAAGCGGUGUCUAAGUUCUAUGGUUAGUGACCUCGCAGUCUUGCUCCCAAACCUAACACAACUCGUAGUCUUGCACUCGGCGCAGCAGCCAAUACUCAAGCUUGCUCAUCCUUGGCCUGAGUGGUUCCAACUCAUGAAGUGCUUGCUCGACAAGGGAUACUUCUGUCGUGAAGAGGGAAAAAUGUUAUGCAAUGCUGGUAUGGGCAUGAAGGAUUUCAACGUCAUUAGAACCAAGUGUGCCUCAAUUUCGGUAGAGACCACUUUCAUCUUUUAAGGAGAUUUUUUAGAUAAAGGAGGGUAUUUCAACAAAUAAUGCAUGCUGGGAAAUUGGAGAAUCACCGGUUAAGUUAGUGGGCUGAACAUUAGUUAAUGGCCUUUUCGGAAACCUAUUAUGUUCAUAUUGUUUUUAUUGGUCUAAAAUUUCCCACGUAGCCUUCAGUGUGUAGAUUGAAAUAACUCAUUCUCCAGAGAAUCUCACUUUCAUGCUAGAGAUGUCAUUUUUGGUUCUCCGAGUUGUGUAAUGGGAGGAGAAGGUAAAGGAAUUGGAUUGGCUAAGUGGAAAUUUUAUUUUAUAUAUAUACAUGAGACUUGCCAUUAUAUUA